ensembl:lncRNA
CCUAAAGUCCAGUGAAAAACACUUGAGUUUAUAUUUUCAGUUGUGAACUGGAAAACUAAACUUUAAACCUCUUAACAUCAGUCUUUCAAAACUGGGAAGAGCUAAUGAUUAACAGUCUUCUGGUGGGUUUGGAGUAAGAGAGAAUGUCAAAUAGGGCUUUUAUAGUUGUAAGGUGGAAAGGAUGGAAAAGGUAAAGCUAUGUCUUAUCAGACAUAGCCUGAUGGAUUUCACGUGAAAGAUGGAAAUCAGCAAUUCUAAAAUUCAUGGAGCAAAAUGUGUGGGAUGGAAGGAUUUAUCUCUAAACUUCAAGGACACUCCAAAGGCUGAAGAAGAGAGAGAUAUGUUCUUCAUCUGUGCUCUGAAAACAGUAAUGAUGAAAGACACAACUGGCUUGCUUAUAGAAUCCUGAAAGAGAAUUAUCAAGGUGGCCUUCCAGACCUUCAGUUUAAAUAUCCUGGUCCUGAGACAGAGAAAAAGCUUAUUUUAAAAAUCACUAUGAAAGGAUGUUCCAUGGAUGUGCUCAAUAAUCUUCUCAGUUAGUGAAAUACUGUGUGGCUGCAUAAACUCUCAGACAACUGUCGUGCCAAAAAUGAAAUAGAAGACCUACAAUCUCAGCAUACGUUAACCACUGGGUGAAGAAUGUUUUUUGGGAUGAUGCUGUGUGUUUUUAACUCUCACCGUUACCAUCUCUGUGGCAGAGUUCAGAAGCAGGUUACAAUUGCUCAAAUAAAAUAAAAUAUGCUGAAGAUAAGAUUUUACAGAAGAAGUAAAACCAAAGUUCUUGGCAUCACAUCAAACUGAGUGGAACAGCGUGAAAGCUGCCCAGAGACCAGAAGAGACUUGUUUGCGAAAAUAUUCUGCACCACUGAACAAAAAUCGUUAUGCUAUGAUAGAUGCAAUUGAACUACCUUAACAAAACAUCAGUGUCAAAUAAAAUAGCUUGCCACUGGAACUGAACCAGUGAAUGUAGGUGGGAGAGAUUUUUGCAUUUUCUAGUGGACUAAGGAAAUCUCCAUCCAGUGCUGGUGUAAUGCAGAAGAGAAUUCAAACGUUAUUUGAUGUUAACAUUCUUCCUUAGAAAAAAACAAACAGACAAAUGAAAUAUCUGAAUUUCUAUCUAAAUUUCUGAGAAAUGAGUUUAAAUAAAAUAUGGCCUUUGAAGUGAACAUGCCUGCUUCUAAGGAAACAAUUUGUGUUUGGAAUAAAAGUUCUCAGUAUAAUAAGAAUAAUAAUAAAUAAGCUUAGAACAAGAACCAUAGUCUGUGAUCAAAAUUCAAGAUAAAUUGCAACAAGAAAUUUAAGUAUCUUACUGUUGUUGGUAUAUAGUUAAGAUAUUGUUAACAUAGAGAAGGCUGAAAAAUCCAGCUAUCAGCUUGUUUAUAAUUGGA